rnacentral:rRNA from 1 species
UACGUAGGGUGCAAGCGUUGUCCGGAAUUAUUGGGCGUAAAGAGCUCGUAGGCGGUCUGUCGCGUCUGCUGUGAAAACUCGGGGCUUAACCCCGGGCCUGCAGUGGGUACGGGCAGACUAGAGUGCGGUAGGGGAGACUGGAAUUCCUGGUGUAGCGGUGAAAUGCGCAGAUAUCAGGAGGAACACCGAUGGCGAAGGCAGGUCUCUGGGCCGAUACUGACGCUGAGGAGCGAAAGCGUGGGAGCGAACAGG